rnacentral:rRNA from 1 species
GCAGCACAGUGGAGCUUGCUCCAUGGGUGGCGAGUGGCGGACGGGUGAGUAAUGCAUCGGGACCUACCUAGACGUGGGGGAUAACGUAGGGAAACUUACGCUAAUACCGCAUACGUCCUACAGGAGAAAGCAGGGGACCUUCGGGCCUUGCGCGGUUAGACGGACCGAUGUUCGAUUAGCUUGUUGGUGAGGUAACGGCUCACCAAGGCGACGAUCGAUAGCUGGUCUGAGAGGAUGAUCAGCCACACUGGAACUGAGACACGGUCCAGACUCCUACGGGAGGCAGCAGUGGGGAAUAUUGGACAAUGGGCGCAAGCCUGAUCCAGCAAUGCCGCGUGUGUGAAGAAGGCCUUCGGGUUGUAAAGCACUUUUAUCAGGAGCGAAAUACCACCGGCCAAUACCCGGUGGGGCUGACAGUACCGGGAGAAUAAGCUCCGGCUAACUCCGUGCCAGCAGCCGCGGUAAUACGGAGGGAGCUAGCGUUGUUCGGAAUUACUGGGCGUAAAGCGCACGUAGGCGGCUUUUCAAGUCAGAGGUGAAAGCCCGGGGCUCAACCCCGGAACUGCCUUUGAAACUAGGUAGCUAGAAUCUUGGAGAGGUCAGUGGAAUUCCGAGUGUAGAGGUGAAAUUCGUAGAUAUUCGGAAGAACACCAGUGGCGAAAGG